rnacentral:rRNA from 1 species
AACCACUGAAGGUUAAUAUCCUUCAGGCCUGACGGUACCCUCAAAGGAAGCACCGGCUAACUCCGUGCCAGCAGCCGCGGUAAUACGGAGGGUGCAAGCGUUGUUCGGAAUUAUUGGGCGUAAAGCGCGUGUAGGCGGUCUGUUAAGUCUGAUGUGAAAGCCCCGGGCUCAACCCGGGAAGUGCAUUGGAAACUGGCAGACUUGAGUACGGGAGAGGGUAGUGGAAUUCCGAGUGUAGGGGUGAAAUCCGUAGAUAUUCGGAGGAACACCGGUGGCGAAGGCGGCUACCUGGACCGAUACUGACGCUGGGACGCGAAAGCGUGGGGAGCAAACAGGAUUAGAUACCCUGGUAGUCCACGCCGUAAACGAUGGGUACUAGGUGUUGCGGGUAUUGAUCCCUGCAGUGCCGAAGCUAACGCAUUAAGUACCCCGCCUGGGGAGUACGGCCGCAAGGCUA